GUCCAGCUGAGGAGUCCCAAAUAGGACAAAACGCGCGCCAUGGAU
rnacentral:hammerhead_ribozyme from 1 species